GUCCCUUCGAGGACAUCCGUUAAAAUUGGAAUGAUACAGAGAAGAUUAUAAUGCCUCUGCAUACGGAUGACACACAAAAAUCGAGAAAUCGUCCAAAAAAAAACUUUU